rnacentral:rRNA from 1 species
UACGUAGGGUGCAAGCGUUGUCCGGAAUUAUUGGGCGUAAAGAGCUCGUAGGCGGUUCGUCGCGUCGGCUGUGAAAACCUGAGGCUCAACUGGGGAGGGUCAUGCGAUACGGUCAGACUGGAGGCCAGUAGGGGGAUGCGGAAUUCCGGGUGUAGCGGUGGAAUGCGUAGAGAUCCGGAAGAACACCGGUGGCGAAGGCGGCCUGCUGGGCAGUUGCUGACACUGAGGCGCGACAGCGUGGGGAGCAAACAGG